rnacentral:lncRNA from 1 species
AGAUAAGUCUUAGCCUCCUGCUGUGUCUCAGUUUCCCCUCCUGUGCCCCAGGGACGUUCUGCCUGGCUGCUGCUGUGCGAGCGGCGCAGUGUGCACGUGGGAUGGUUGGGCUGGCUGAGAGCUAGGUGACCCAAGGAAGUCUACCUGCAGCUAUCUGCAAGGCUUGGUGCCGCGGCAGAGUCAGCGAAAGAACUAAACUGGAACUCCAUCAGCUCGAGGGAAUACGAUCUCCAGUCCCAGCCAACUGAGCCCUGAGAAAAACAAUGUUAAUGCUUUGACGCCUAGUCAGUGGUGUAUAGCUGGUGGUAGUCGGUGGAUGAAAAUAACGUUUGAU